rnacentral:rRNA from 1 species
ACACGACUACAUUAGAUACCCCUGUAGUCCUAGCCGUAAACGAUACUCGCUAGGUGUCGGCCACGGUGCGACCGUUGUCGGUGCCGUAGGGAAGCCGUGAAACGAGCCACCUGGGAAGUACGGCCGCAAGGCUGAAACUUAAAGGAAUUGGCGGGGGAGCACAACAACGGGUGGAGCUUGCGGUUUAAUUGGAUUCAACGCCGGAAAUCUUACCGGGACCGACAGCAACAUGAAGGCCAAGCUGAAGACUUUGCCGGAUUAGCUG